AAAAUAACCGAAAGUCUCUCAAUUGAAAAUGUUUUUGAACAUCAAGAUGCAGUGGAGUGGUUUGAGAAAAUCCUGAGUGUAGUGUCACCUGAUGCAUCACAGGUCUAUGAAGGAACCUUACUAAAAACACUGAGGUGUCUGAAGAAAGAUCAUGAUGAAUCUCACGAAGACAGCACAUUUUUAUCACUUCCAAUCACCAUUGAUGCUGGACAUGAUGAAGUAUUCCGUGUGGUUGACGGUCUUGAAGCCUUUUUUCAAACCACAA